rnacentral:rRNA from 1 species
AUUGAACGCUGGCGGCAUGCUUUACACAUGCAAGUCGAACGGUAACAGGGAGCUUGCUCCGCUGACGAGUGGCGAACGGGUGAGUAAUGCAUCGGAACGUGCCGUGUAGUGGGGGAUAACGUAGCGAAAGUUACGCUAAUACCGCAUACGCCCUGAGGGGGAAAGUGGGGGACCGCAAGGCCUCACGCUAUACGAGCGGCCGAUGUCGGAUUAGCUAGUUGGUAGGGUAAAGGCCUACCAAGGCGACGAUCCGUAGCGGGUCUGAGAGGAUGAUCCGCCACACUGGGACUGAGACACGGCCCAGACUCCUACGGGAGGCAGCAGUGGGGAAUUUUGGACAAUGGGCGCAAGCCUGAUCCAGCCAUGCCGCGUGAGUGAAGAAGGCCUUCGGGUUGUAAAGCUCUUUCAGACGGAAAGAAAUCGGUGUGUCUAAUACACGCACUGGAUGACGGUACCGUAAGAAGAAGCACCGGCUAACUACGUGCCAGCCGCCGCGGUAAUAC